UGACAAGUGUACCACGGUUAUGUAAGACGUUAACACUAGCGGAAGCUGGGUGAGGGUACAUGGGAACGAACUCUCUGUACUAUCGUUGCAACUUGUCUGUAAUGAUUCCAAAAUAAAAAGUUGAAAAACCCAAAGACAAACAAGGGCCAGGCCUGCCAAGAAGAGCUGGGACACGGGUUUGGCACCUGGGCCUUGGGCUCUGCCUGGAAAAAGCCAAGGAGUCCUGGAGCUGGCUCUCAGCUGGCAGGAGGACCUGCUGCCAACUCUGCAGAGAUGGGCCAGUUCUGGAAAGAUGAGACAGUGUGCUGGGCCCUGAGUGAAGCACUGAAGAUACAGCAGUGAACAAGGACAGAUGGGAUUUUCAGCCUUCAAGAUGGCCAUGGAUGAUCCCUUUCUCAUUGUAUUCAUGCACUUAUAUAGCCCCUUUCCACAUCGAAUUAGGUUGACCUUUGUAAUCAAGAGAACAUUCUGGAAUGAUGAAGUAGUAUGCCUGAAGUGAGGUCAUUAGAAACAUUGUGAGUUCUUGUUUUCUGGGGGAAGCCAGUGGCCAUGUUGUGAGGGUACUCAAGCAGCCCUAUGGAGAAGCCCAUGUGACCAUUUUGGAAGUGGAUCUUCCAGCCCCAGUCAAGCUUUCAGAUGACUUUAGCCCUGGCCAACAUCUUGACUGCAACCUCAUGAGUGAUCCUAACCCAGAAUCACUCAGCAAAGCUGCCCUCAAACUCCUGUCCAAUAGAAGCUGUGAGAUAAUAAUUUGUUGUUUUAAGCUGCCAUGUUUUGGGUGUAAUUUGUUACACAACAAUACAUAGCUAAUGCACAGGUCUUCAGUGAGUAUCAGUCUGUUGGAAAAUUAGUUAUUGAUUUUAAAACUCACACCAAUAGCUAUAAAAUUGCAACUAUGAAAAUGGCUAUAAAUGGCUCUAUUGGGAGGAGCUGACCUAGUCAGAGAGGUUACAAAAGGAUUCCUCGAGAGAGUAAUGGCUGAUCUGAGGUGGAAGUAGAAGAAGGUGGGAAAGAGUAUUCAGGUUGGGGAGCAGCUUGAGCCAAGGCCCUGGGUUGGGAGGAGCCAACCCAGGCACAGGAGGUAAGCAAGGAG
rnacentral:lncRNA from 10 species